rnacentral:rRNA from 1 species
UACGAAGGGGGCUAGCGUUGUUCGGAAUGACUGGGCGUAAAGGGCGCGUAGGCGGCGAUGUAAGUCAGGCGUGAAAGCCCCGGGCUCAACCUGGGAACGGCGCUUGAUACUGCGUUGCUUGAGGACGGGAGAGGAUGGUGGAAUUCCCAGUGUAGAGGUGAAAUUCGUAGAUAUUGGGAAGAACACCGAUGGCGAAGGCAGCCAUCUGGACCGACACUGACGCUGAGGCGCGAAAGCGUGGGGAGCAAACAGG